rnacentral:rRNA from 1 species
GCCAUGCCGCGUGCAGGAUGACUGCCCUAUGGGUUGUAAACUGCUUUUGUCCGGGAAUAAACCUCCUUACGAGUAGGGAGCUGAAUGUACCGGAAGAAUAAGGAUCGGCUAACUCCGUGCCAGCAGCCGCGGUAAUACGGAGGAUCCGAGCGUUAUCCGGAUUUAUUGGGUUUAAAGGGUGCGUAGGCGGCCCGUUAAGUCAGGGGUGAAAUACGGUGGCUCAACCAUCGCAGUGCCUUUGAUACUGACGGGCUUGAAUCCAUAUGAAGUGGGCGGAAUAAGACAAGUAGCGGUGAAAUGCAUAGAUAUGUCUUAGAACUCCGAUUGCGAAGGCAGCUCACUAAGCUGGUAUUGACGCUGAUGCACGAAAGCGUGGGGAUCGAACAGGAUUAGAUACCCUGGUAGUCCACGCCCUAAACGAUGAUAACUCGAUGUUGGCGAUAGACAGCCAGCGUCCCAGCGAAAGCGUUAAGUUAUCCACCUGGGGAGUACGCCCGCAAGGGUGAAACUCAA